rnacentral:rRNA from 1 species
CAGCCGCCGCGGGAAUACGGAGGGCGCGAGCGUUACCCGGAUUUACUGGGCGUAAAGGGCGUGUAGGCGGCCUGGGGCGUCCCAUGUGAAAGGCCACGGCUCAACCGUGGAGGAGCGUGGGAUACGCUCAGGCUAGAGGGUGGGAGAGGGUGGUGGAAUUCCCGGAGUAGCGGUGAAAUGCGCAGAUACCGGGAGGAACGCCGAUGGCGAAGGCAGCCACCUGGUCCACUUCUGACGCUGAGGCGCGAAAGCGUGGGGAGCAAACCGGAUUAGAUACCCCGGUAGUCCCUGUCUCUUAUAA